rnacentral:tRNA from 1 species
GCCCGCGUGGCCCAAUGGAUAAGGCGACCGCCUUCUAAAUUUGAAACAAGCGGUAGACUGCGGGUUCGAGUCCCGCCGUGGGUA